UACAAGAGUUCAUCAAUUCUUAUCAAAAUCUCACCAAAAUUACUAAGAAUUUGAGUUACAAACUAAAAUUGAAAAAGAUGGUGAGUUGAUAUCAUCAAAAGAUGAAUUCAAUUCCAACAAUGAUUAAGAAGUGAGCAAACAAUCUUCAAUUACACAAUAAUGAAGGUAUAAAACUUCUUUUGUUCAAAUUAUAGAAAUUAGUUAAAUUAAUAAUUUUAAUUACUGAAAUUGGUUGUGCGAGAUUAUUUGUAUGGGGAAUCAUGAAGGAUUCCGGAGUAUAAGGUGGAAUUGGAUAUGGA
rnacentral:lncRNA from 1 species